GACGAACGCUGGCGGCGUGCUUAACACAUGCAAGUCGAACGGAAAGACCCUGCGUUUGUGGGGUGCUCGAGUGGCGAACGGGUGCGUAACACGAGAGUAACCUACCCUUGACUUUCGGAUAACUUCAGGAAACUGGGGUUAAUACAGUAUAGGAGCUCCUGCUGCAUGGUGGGGGUUGGAUAGUUUCGGCUGGCGGGGAUGGACGCGCGGCUUAUGAGCUUGUUGGUGGGGUAGUGGCUUACCAAGGCAUUGACGGGUAGCCGGCCUGUGAGGGUGACCGGCGACAAUGGGACUGAGAUACGGACCAGACUCCUACGGGAGGCAGCAGUGGGGAGUAUUGCACAAUGGGAGGAAGUCUGAUGCAGAAACGCCGCGGGCGUGAUGACGGCCUUUGGGUUGUGAACCGCUGUCGCCUGUGACGAAGCGUGAGUGACGGUAAUGAGUAAAGAAGCACCGGCUAACUACGUG
rnacentral:rRNA from 1 species